GGCCGGUUGGCCCAAUGGUAAGGCGUCUGACUACGAUGACCCACAUUGGCAAAUCGUGUAAAUCAGGAGAUUCUGGGUUCGAGCCCCAGGCUGGUCA
rnacentral:tRNA from 1 species